rnacentral:rRNA from 1 species
UGGGGGAAUAUUGCGGCAAUGGGGGGAAACCCUGACGCAGCAACGCCGCGUGAUCGAAGAAGGUCUUCGGAUUGUAAAGAUCUUUUAUCAGGGACGAAGAAAGUGACGGUACCUGAUGAAUAAGCUCCGGCUAACUACGUGCCAGCAGCCGCGGUAAUACGUAGGGAGCGAGCGUUGUCCGGAAUUACUGGGUGUAAAGGGAGCGUAGGCGGGGCUUUAAGUCAGGUGUGAAAUGUAUGGGCUCAACCCGUAAACUGCACUUGAAACUGAGGCUCUUGAGUGAAGUAGAGGCAGGCGGAAUUCCUAGUGUAGCGGUGAAAUGCGUAGAUAUUAGGAGGAACAUCAGUGGCGAAGGCGGCCUGCUGGGCUUUUACUGACGCUGAGGCUCGAAAGCGUGGGGAGCAAACAGGAUUAGAUACCCUGGUAGU